GACAGAGGGUGCAAGCGUUGUUCGGAAUUAUUGGGCGUAAAGCGCGCGUAGGCGGCUAGGUCAGUCGAAUGUGAAAUCCCGUGGCUCAACCAUGGAAGUGCAUUCGAAACUGCCUGGCUCGAGUGUCGGAGAGGGUGGUGGAAUUCCCAGUGUAGAGGUGAAAUUCGUAGAUAUUGGGAGGAACACCAGUGGCGAAGGCGACCGCCUGGACGACAACUGACGCUGAGGCGCGAGAGCGUGGGGAGCAAACAGG
rnacentral:rRNA from 1 species